CCGCCCGGCCCCUCCGCCCCGGGAGAGCCGCUCAGGGGAGCCCCGCGGCCGGCUGCGGUGCGCGGUCCGCCCUCGGCGCGGAGACGUGGCGCACACCUGCUCUACCCUCUGCGGUCCGCGCAGCCGGCAGGGAAUCGGACACUGAGCAGUCCCUGCGGGGACUGCGAUAUACUUGAACAGAGAGGAAAAGUGCAAUCGUACGUGGAUUUCGUUAAUUAUAAGUGCGGUGUGCGUGGAUCAUGAGAUACGUAUCGGUAUUUAAGAUUGUUCUGUGUCGUGUUCUGUUUAUAUCUUUUUUUGGGAAAUACAUUUUAUUUUUAUACGUUUUAUAUAUAUAUAUAUUGCAUAUGGGCAUUUUAAAACAUUGUAUCCCCUCUAUUUUUCAUAUCGUGAAUGUCAAACGUUGUUAAACUCUUCUUCCAUACCUUUUUUAUCUUGCAUUCCAGACUGGUGAAAGAUGUAGAGAAUGUAUCAGCUGUUCUCCAUGGGUAAUAUGUGAAAUAAAGUAAACACCAUUACAUAAACCACUUCUGUUGUUUUUAGUGGGGGCAGAGGGUCAGAUAGAAGGCUUCUUACUUUCUUCAGCCCUGUCCUUACUAACCUAGCACGGCCGUUCCGCGGUAGCUUAAACCCCUCGGUUAGAGGCUUCGUUAGCCUUAUCUCAUUAGAGCGAGUAGAUUGACGAGCAGGCGUGCAUCUUAAAUCCUGGGGCAGAGCUGCUCAGAAGGCACCAAGGCCUUCUCUUACCCACACGUUCCAGGCAGGGCUGAGACGUGUCACGGCUUGGAUUGAUCACGCAAGUUUAUUUUCUGCCCUAAUUAAUCAGGGAAACAACUACACACUUCAGCAUUGCACAACAAAGUAACAGAUUUAUUGAGGGAGCGCGUUCCAAAAAUGGUCAUAGCAGCCUCCAAGGUUAUUUAUGUUGAAGGAUUUCCUGGGCCACAGUUCAGGUUAAAGUUAAAUGGUGACCGGUUCAGUGUGGGCAGAACAUCUUGGAUGAAAGCUUAGCAUUAGGGAUUUUGUUGUUUUGUUCUUUUUUUGUUCCCUCCAAAUUCCAACCACAGACCAGAAAACAAAUGGGAAACUAAAACUGCGCCAACAGCACCAUCUAUUGGUGGCCGCGCUGCGCUGCAACAAAACAACGCCCGCAGAACGAAACAAGUGCAUUUGAGUAACGGCUUGGAUCAAACGUAGCGUCUCCCUCAUCGUACGCUAUCUCUGCAGGCAGUGCGCACAGAAGAGGCAGGGCACAGCAGCACUUAACACAGCCAGAAGAAGUUAAGGGGCUGUAUUCUUUUCACCUCGUGCUAAACGCCUAAGGAACGCUUUGUUUCUGAGAAAAAAAAAUCAGAAGAAGGAGCAGUCACACAUUUCCAGGAAAACAGCUGCAAAAAACCAAAAACCUGGGGUAGGAAUUCAGUCAGCCAGAUGACUGGCAUACACAUCCAGCUUUUUUCCUCCCAAAGGUUAGAAACUCUGCUCAGAAUUGCUUGUUUGAACACUACUUUCCUAAACGUUUUCAACCUUGGAAUCUUGAGAGGCAUAUGUCGACAGUCACCAGUUUUAAUCACCAUCUGCUUGAUAACAGCUGGAAAAUAGUUUGCAUCUCUGUUGCUGCUGGCCUUUCAGAUCCAGAUGUUGUAAGAUGUAGAAACAGGAUGAGUAAGAACUGGAAGACAGAGCAGAAGUGCAGAGUGACAUGUAUCACACUUCCAAAUAUCACCUGUUUAGCUGGCAAGAGAUGACAGCAAGCACAUGGUCUUCGGUGUUGACUGUAGCUGCCAGUUGAGAAACAGGCAAGUGGCUAUUCUGAAGGUCUCAAGCAGAAACUGGUUGCUGCUGCUUAGCUUUGAGGUGCUUGCAGUGGGAACUUACAACGUGUAAGUGAACACAUGAUCCUACUGAAGGACAUAGAAUAACUGGAAUGACUCCCACAGAGCCCUACAAUGGAAUAAGUCCAAUACUUUACUUAUGGGUUGAACGGCUAGCAUCGAAGUCAUCUGAACUUGGGACAUACUGGGCAUAGUGGAUUAUAGAGUGGCUAAGUAUGUGCAUACCAACUAGGGGCCUUUGUAUUGAUCUUUUCUUCAUUUACUGCCCAAAACUGGUCUCCACUUAAAAAAAAUAAAAUAAAAUAAAAUAAAUUACCCUCUCCUUUCCCUUUUACUGAUAAAAAAAACCUCUUCACUCAACACUGAAAGAUCCUCUCCUUAAACAGACGGUGUUAAAAGCAGCAAGCUGCUGCCACACGGCAUAAUUCUGACCCGACAGGAGCUUCCUAAGUACCAUUGGAAGGAUCAAGAGCACCACCUGCCGUAGUUGUAGGGAGAAGCAAUAAGCUCCGUAGUUGCAAUAAACAAGAACUAAAGGAAGGAUUCCCCCAUCCCCACUCCUGCUAAUCUUGACAACCAAAAGGUCUUUUAGAGUAUCAGAACAGCACUACUGAACCAGAAACGCCAGAAAGUAGUGGGCAGCCCUGUCC
rnacentral:lncRNA from 1 species